UUUCUCGUAAAUAUUGGAAAUGCAUCGAGACCACCAUUUUACUCGAAGAGUAAACUUUCGCUCUCGAACGAUUUUCGAGAAUUUUAUCGCGAGGAUUCGAUUUAUGAUGAUCGAAUUAUGCGAUGGGAAGGUAGAAAGAGAAAUAGAUGACGCGAGGCAAAGCAUAACCAUUGGCGAGAGAGAAUCGGAGAGAAAAGGAUGGAUAGAGAAACAAGAGAGAAUUGAGAACAUCGAGAUAAAGAAUCGAACGGACCUUAACGUCUCUCUCGUAAGAUAAAUCCAUGGUAUGCGCAAUACUGGAAUUGAAGUAGCCUUAAAAUUAUAUAGCGCAAAGACACGGGUAUACGAUACGAUUCCCUUCAUCGAUAACACGAUCGAAUCGAUAAUCAGGAAACGAAUUAACAUCAAUUAGAACGAACUUUACAAGUUUAACCGAAUCGAUAGGAGCCACUCCUUGAGCUGAAGUACAUCAUUCUCUGGCGAACGUACAAAUCGCGCGAUACGACCGUUUUCCAAUCAGUGUAAUCGGUUUAAUCAUUUACGCGGCGCUGUACUACACUCUACUUAAUUCUAUGCGAGUCCUUCAAGUCCAACCAUGGCACGGCGGCUGUCUACCGCCCCUAAUUCAACGUAUAAAUCUCUCUCACCUGUUAUUUAUUAUUUUCAUGAAUAUGCAUUUCUUUCACCGCCUGCUAAUGGACCCCUGAGGCCAUGGCGUGUUAGAAGUGUUGCGCGCAACAGCGUGCAGUUAAACGGAUUUGAUUAAUCGAAAAACUUGAUCGAAUCCCUCUUUCU
rnacentral:lncRNA from 1 species